GAAAACAAUGCAGCGUUACCUUGUAAAGUGCCUUUCCCUACAACUCAGCAGUAUCACUCCUUAAGACAGACCCUAGAGAAACCCUUGUCCUUCUGUACCAGGAGACGUCUGUGCAAAACUGACAGUCAUGACAUGGCCAGACCUCAUGCACACAAUGUUCAAUGAGGAAAGAAGUCGCCCCAGAGUAUGUGCAAGGUGAUUCCAUUCGUGUAAAGUCUGGAGGCUCAUAAUCACAUUGGAAAUUGUCCUUUUGAAGGGUACAUAUAUACGCAUUUAAAAAAUAAAAGCAAGGGAAUUAUAAACACAAAGUUCUCAAAACUGGGUUAUCUUAAAGGGAGUGGAGGGAGAUGCAAACUUCGAGGGGCAAUGGGGACUUCAAAGCAUGGGCCAUGUUCUAUUUCUCAAAGGGAUUACCGCACACAUGGCAUUUAGCUAAUGAAUUGUAGUUUAAAAUUGCAGUAUAAUUGACUUACAGUGUUGUAUUAAUUUCAGAUGUACAACGUAGUGAUUCUGUUGCAGGAAAAAUGGGAUACAAGAGGAUAGUCACGUAUGAGGUCUUGAGUGAGUCCUUGGGACAGACGACCAAGUGAGGGUCCUUGGCUUUGGGCAGGAAAGAAUUCUAGAAUGAACCAUAGUAAAGUGAAAGCAGGUUUAUUUAGAGAGCUACACACUCCAUAGACAGAGUGUGGGCCAUCUCAGAGGGUGAGAGCCGGCCCUGCGAUAUGGAGUGGUUAGUUUUUAUGGGCUGGGCUAACGAAUGGGAGGAAUAUUCUAACUGUCUUGGAGAAGGGGCAGGGGUUUCUAGGAAUUGGGGCACCCCUACUUUUUGGCCUUUUAUGGCUAGCCUUGAAACUGUCAUAGUGCCUGUCAUAGUGUCAUUUAGUUAAUGCAUUACAAUAAGGGUAUAAUGAGGCUCAAGGUCUAGGGAAGUCUAAUGUUCUGCCAUGUUGCGCCUAGUAGGUUCUAACCAGUUUUUGUCGCAUCCCGUUCUUAAUGGUUGUGUCAUUCUUUCAAUAGUUGUGUCCUUCCGCCUUCCUUCCUGUCUCAAUUCGAUAUUUUUAUACAUUACAAAAUGAUCAGGGCUUCCCUGGUGGCGCAGUGGUUGAGAGUCCGCCUGCCGAUGCAGGGGACGAGGGUUCGUGCCCCGGUCCGGGAGGAUCCCACAUGCCGCGGAGCGGCUGGGCGCGUGAGCCAUGGCCGCUGAGCCUGCGCGUCCGGAGCCUGUGCUCCGCAACGGGAGAGGCCACAACAGUGAGAGGCCCACGUAACGC
rnacentral:lncRNA from 1 species